rnacentral:rRNA from 1 species
UACGUAGGGGGCAAGCGUUGUCCGGAUUUACUGGGCGUAAAGAGCGUGUAGGCGGCCAGACAGGUCCGUUGUGAAAACUGGAGGCUUAACCUUCAGACGUCGAUGGAAACCGUGCGGCUAGAGUCCGGAAGAGGAGAAUGGAAUUCCUGGUGUAGCGGUGAAAUGCGCAGAUAUCAGGAAGAACACCCGUGGCUAAGGCGGUUCUCUAGUACGGUACUGACGCUGAGACGCGAAAGCGUGGGGAGCGAACAGG